ACCCAUUCCCAUUCAGUCGUCCAGUGUCGGUCGAGGAGUAGGUAUCUGAUUCGGUUGUUGGGUUGUACUUGUUCGUAGUUCUCUUAUCACAAAAGAAGACUAAUAUAACUGCCAAUUUUUUUUUUUUAUUAAAUUCUUGAAUAGCAAUAUAUUGUGCACUUUUUUUAAUUUGUAAAUGACCAAAACCGACCGUUUGGGAUUUUUGGAUUUACCGUGAGCAGUGUUUUGUAAUGGCUGUGGUCGGCCCAAGCCGACACUCGAGGGUGUCAAUGUCGCUGAUGCAGGGCUCGACAAACGGGCCAGUCGGCAACCACCAGCAAGCUAAUACUUCACAACAAUUUUUUCACGCUCAACAACAAUCAUCGCAUCAUACAGCUCAAUCAGCUACUACGCAUUCGGUUGAUUACAAACCGGACCGACCAAUUGGAUAUGGAGCAUUUGGAGUAGUCUGGGCCGUAACGGAUCCCCGAGACGGACGACGAGUAGCGUUAAAAAAACUGCCCAACGUUUUCCAAUCACUAGUCUCUUCGAAAAGAGUGUUCAGAGAACUGAAAAUGUUGUGCAAUUUCAAACAUGAAAAUGUCUUGUCUGCCCUUGACAUUCUGCAACCGCCUCAUUUGGAUUUCUUUCAAGAAAUAUACGUGAUAACCGAAUUGAUGCAGAGCGACUUGCAUAAAAUAAUCGUGUCGCCGCAGCAACUUUCGCCGGACCACAUCAAAGUUUUCCUCUACCAGAUCCUCCGAGGUCUUAAAUAUCUGCAUUCGGCACGGAUAUUGCACAGAGACAUCAAGCCAGGCAAUUUACUUGUAAACAGUAAUUGCAUAUUAAAAAUAUGCGAUUUUGGUCUGGCCAGAGUAGAAGAACCAGACGAAACAAAACACAUGACCCAAGAAGUAGUAACACAGUACUACAGAGCACCAGAAAUCCUAAUGGGUGCCAAACACUACACUGCCGCAAUAGAUGUCUGGAGCGUCGGGUGUAUAUUUGCAGAACUUGUUACUAGGCGAAUAUUGUUCCAGGGCCAAGAUACGGUCCAACAACUCGAGUUGAUAACAGACUUAUUGGGAACACCAACAAUGGAAGACAUGGCCCAUGCAUGUCCCGCGGCUCGUUCGCAUAUGCUCAUACGACGCAUGAAGAAACCUUCUAUGUCCCUACUGUAUUCCCUAUCUUCAUUAAUGACCCAUGAAGCAGUACAUUUAAUUUCUCAAAUGCUAGUUUUCAAUCCAGAUAAACGGAUGUCAGUAAUGGAUGCGUUAGUCCAUCCAUACAUUGACGAAGGCCGCCUGAGGUAUCAUAGUUGCAUGUGCAAGUGUUGUUUUACAGUACCUUUAACUGGCCUCAGACACUUUUGUAUGGAUUAUGAACCGGUCGCUCCGCAAACAUUUGAUGAUAAAUGGGAAAAGAAAUUAUCAAAUGUGCAACAAGUCAAAGAAGAACUUCACAAAUUCAUUGGCGACCAAUUGAGUAGCCAUCGUGUGCCGUUGUGCAUAAAUCCCCAGUCUGCGGCAUUUAAAAGUUUCUCGAGGUAAGACUGAGAAACAUCUGACACUUCUGAGUUCUGAUCCACAAAUUAACUACACCUCAACUAACCGUGAUGUUUAAUCGCUGCAGACUGCCUUGUUUCUCUAAACGUGAUAACCGGAUCUCAAAAUGCACUCCCAAGACCGAGACUGAAUGAUGACGCAAUGAAAUCGAGAAUUGACAACUAAAUAAAAUACAAUUGUAAAUAUUACUUUAAUUUCUCUCUCUUUUAUCAUAUUAUUGUGUGAACCAAAUGCUUUUUUUUUCAUUUUAAGAUAAAAACACAUGCCCAAUUUGUAUUUUCCAUUUUAUAUAUUUUUCCCUUUUUUUUUACAUGACAAAAGGGAUUAUUACCUAAGUAAAGUUAAUUAUUCGGAAAUUAUUUUUUUAAAGUUAUGAAUCAUUUUAUUUACUUACUGCAACAUGGUUUUAAAAUUGUAUGAUUUAACAAUUUUGUUUAUUUGUGAUUUAAUUGUAUAUCAUUUAAAAAUGAAAAUAUUGUCAUAAAAACGCUUUAAUUACCCAAUGUUAUAUAUUUUAUUGUACAACACAAACGAUUUAAACAAUAUUAAUGAAAUGAAAAUGUGCACAUUUAAAUCAUUUGUAAAUAGUAUACCUGUACCUACCUAUGUGAGUUUUUUGAAAUUGUAAAUUAUCUUUUGUAAAAUUUAGAAAUAACUCGCACUUAAUAUUGUCAUUUAAUUUUGUGGAGAUUUUAAAAUGUUAUUACAAUGAUGCUCCACACUAUCUGUUCAAUCAAUAUAUAGUUAACAUAAAAUAUUAGUUUUUUAAGAAAUAUGUACGGGUCGGACUCAAUAUUUUAAGUUUAUUAAAUGACAUAUUAAUAACUUUUUUUACUAAAUUGCUUUAUAAAUAUUUAAGUAAAUGAAUUUUUAUCAUAAACAUGGUGAGUGUGAUUUAUAAUAUUUUAUUUAAUUAUCAGUGCUUUGUAGUACAACAAUUAUAUGAAUAUUUGCAAUUUAUUAUUUUUACUAAAAUGUAUACAAUUUUUUUUUUAGUUUCCUGUAUUACAUGUUAAAAUAUUUUUUAAUUUUAACUCCCCUUCUUAUUUAUGUUGUUUUUGUUUCACAUUUAAUUUAUGUGCAAAAAUUACAAUUGGGCUCAAUUAUUUUUUUCUAUUUGGGCACUGAAAUAAUGAAAAAUACGUCCGACUCCUAACAGCCAAUUUUAUUGUGAACAUAAAUUGUAUAUAAUACAAUAUUAAUAAAAAAAAACAACAUCUGGAGAGAAUUUGUUAUUAGCCCUAAGUUAUAUAUGUGAAGUAAUAAAAAUUGUGACUGUUGGGUAGAGAAUUCAUUUGCUCCAUACAGUGGUUAUCUUGAAAUGAAAAAAUCAUUAAAACAAAUAUUGAAUGAUUGUGAAAAAUAAAAAUGAAUAGUAAGGAAAUCUA